rnacentral:rRNA from 1 species
CAGUAGCCGCGGUAAUACGUAGGGUGCAAGCGUUAAUCGGAAUUACUGGGCGUAAAGGGUGCGUAGGCGGUUGUUUAAGUCUGUUGUGAAAUCCCCGGGCUCAACCUGGGAAUGGCAAUGGAAACUGGACGGCUAGAGUGUGUCAGAGGAUGGUGGAAUUCCCGGUGUAGCGGUGAAAUGCGUAGAGAUCGGGAGGAACACCUGAGGCGAAAGCGGCUCACUGGACCAUAACUGACGCUGAGGCGCGAAAGCUAGGGGAGCAAACAGGAUUAGAGACCCCAGUAGUCCCUGUCUCUUAUAC